UUACUUAUAUUUAAGAGAAUAUUUUCCAUUAAUAAACGUUAAAAGCUUUCCUCUUAAGCUUAGAUGAUUAUGCAUAAAGAUAAUAUUCUUCCUCCAUCUAUAAAACCGGGUCCUUUGAUAUUCCUAGCAAGUGCAUCAACGUGAGAACGACUCAAAGAAAAACCAUAUUCUUAAUAAUAGACAUGGCUGAUGAAUCCAAGAGUUUUGUUGUUGGUGUGCCAAAUAGCAAAAAUAUUAAUAAUGGUGAAACACAAAAAAAUCAUCCAAGAAUGCCACCUACUUCAUUUCCAAUUCCUUUACCCGGAAGGAAUCGUUAUAGUAGCUACUACAAUUACAAUUGGGGUUGGAGACAAAGGUUCAAUCAAAUAGGCCACAAUAAAGGCAACUCUAAUGGGGAAAAUGAGAAAUCAACUUUGAAGACUUAAAAAGCUCACUCAAGGGAAGGGUAACACUAUAGUCAUGAAUAAUUUAUGUUGCCUUGAAUAUAUGUAGUUUACUAUGUAUAUUGUAUAUAUAUUUUAAGCACUUUUAUUUAGACGAGUACAAAUUUGAGGCAACAUAUGGUGGAAAAUAGACAUGUGAAAAAUAUGUCAUGUGUUAUUAGAAGAAUACUUUUCUUAAAAUAGAUAAAUAAAUAAGACGUACUUGUGUUUUUUUUUCUUUCUUUUUUGGUAGAAUAUGUACUUGUAUUUUAAGAGCUUGAUAACUUGAGAAUGAGAACUUUUAUUUAUUGUUGUUAUGUACUAGAAAUUUUCUAGUGGUCGUUAAUUUGGUUUUGCACCAAUAUCCCUCUAUGUUGCUUGAAUGAUGCUGGUUUCAUGAUCCAAUAUUAAUUGGGUUUGCUUUUCUCCUUAAUUAAUUGAGGACCUAUACCUUGUGUUUAUAUAUCUUUAAAAAAAAAUUAAAAAAAUCAUUGUACUUAUUCAGUAUAUGCA
rnacentral:lncRNA from 1 species